AGAGUUUGAUCCUGGCUCAGGACGAACGCUGGCGGCGUGCCUAACACAUGCAAGUUGAGCGACGAACCAGGGCUUGCCCUGGGGCAAAGCAGCGAACGGGUGAGUAACACGUGGGUAACCUGCCCCGAAGACCGGGACAACCCGAGGAAACUCGGGCUAAUACCGGAUCUUCCCUCCGGACUCAGGUCCGGCGGGCAAAGGAAGCUUCGGCCUCCGCUUCGGGAGGGGCCCGCGGCCCAUUAGCUUGUUGGUGAGGUAACGGCUCACCAAGGCAACGAUGGGUAGCUGGUCUGAGAGGACGAUCAGCCACACUGGGACUGAGACACGGCCCAGACUCCUACGGGAGGCAGCAGUGGGGAAUCUUGCGCAAUGCGCGAAAGCGUGACGCAGCAACGCCGCGUGGGGGAAGAAGGCCUUCGGGUUGUAAACCCUUUUCAGGAGGGACGAAGGCAUGGCGGUGAAUAGCCGACCAUGCUGACGGUACCUCCAGAAGAAGCCCCGGCUAACUACGUGCCAGCAGCCGCGGUA
rnacentral:rRNA from 1 species